rnacentral:sRNA from 1 species
ACAAUGGGGAAGCAAUCAGUGAAUGGGUGCCACAGAAGGUUUGAUUUAUAAUGUCAAGCUACAUUACUUUCAGUCAGGAAGAAGAGGGCUAACUCUUCAGAAAACCACAGAUAGAGAUGAACGAGGAUUGGAGAAAAAAGGAGACCUGAUCCUGUGUGUUCUCAGUUCUUAUUAAAAUCAGAGAGGCCUUGAGCGAUCCCCGAGAAAUCAUUCAGAGGCUAGCCUAGGCAAAGCGAGUACAGUCCUCAGCUCAGCUCCCACCAACUCCAUCCUCCAUCGUCACUUCCGGGACUAAUCCAGCUAAUACCUACACCCCAGCCCUGCAAGCCUUGUUUGUUGAGCCACAGAGAACUAGGUGCCUAAAAGACCGAGCAGGGCGGCCAGCCAGUGUUUGGUAAGGUAGGACAGGUCAUUUGGGUUUCACAGAUAUGGAUAAGACCCCUAGAACUUUCAACAGUAUUUAGCAGACUCAAAUGCUGUCACACAGGGAGUGUAAAGGCCUAAAACAGACUGAAAGUAAAUGCCCUGGAAGCCUAGACAGGUGAUCAUCUGUCAAAGUUACACAGGUCAGAGCCUGAAGAAGUCAAGAAAAUCACUGCCCAGGAGCUCGUCUGAAACGCUGAAUGAAAGGCCCAGCUGCAGGAGCCUCCAGCCUCCUCACUCAAGUCUUCUCCCAGGCCUGAAUUGCUUCCCAGCCUCAUUCCCAUCAAGCUCCCUGCUCUCUUCCUGUCAAAACUGCACUCCCUCUGGGGCUGGGAGAGCCUAGCUGCACAGAGCGGUAUCUAGGUGGAAAUUAAGUUCCGCGUUACUUCUCCCUUAGCAUGGUUAUGUUUUUAAACCUUUUCUUUCUCUUUAUGGGGGAGGUUGUUAGGCAUCUUGUAUUGAAUUGAUACAGCUUCUUCAAAGCUUCCGAUGAGAAAUGGGGUGCCCAAAGUGAGAUCUUUCCCUGUCCAGUGCCAUGUGCAACCUGUCCACUCUGGUGGCAGGGCUGUGAUUAUGGGACUGGCUCUGGACCUCAGAGUUGAAGGUUCUGAUACAAAUAGAAUUGGAUUAUAUCUGGGAAAGGCAGGAGACUAUCACUGUCUAUUCCUGUUAUCCUAAGCAAAAGUACCCAUUAAAGAGCUAAAAUCCCAUCCCAAGAAGGAUGGUAGAGCCUGAUGUCACUAAUUCUCCACUCAAAUCUGGCAUUUAUUCAUUCAGUGAAGAAGAAAUUUGAUGUGCCAAUCAAAAGUUCAAAGAGCCUUCUAUCCCUCAUGAUGGCUACAAUAUACUUUAAUACCUGUAAAACAAUGCAGAAGCUGUCGGCUUCUGUGAAGGACAGUACAGGGUAAGGACUAACAUCGCUCACUCACACAUUCAUUCAUUCAUUCAUUCAUUCAUUCAUUCAUUGUAAAUCUGACAUGCACCUAGCAUGUCACUACAUGUGAAAACUAUGAUUCUUUCUCUCUGGGGCCUGGCCUAUGUUUUCACUGCUCCUGCCUGUCUCUCCAGGGGUUAUAUAAAAAUCUCUAUGUACAGUUUUACUUCAGUGAAUAUCCAGGAAAGAUCGUGCUUUCCAUAGUGGGAGCUGGGGGAGUUGGAGGGAAGGACCAAGCUCCCAAGUCUCCUCUUCAGGAAUGGAGCCUGUACUUCAUAAACAGGGCCUGGAGCACUCUUGGUAACAAUUGCCCAUACUUAGGAAAAGAUUCAUUCUUGGGUAUUGCCUAAAAGGUUUUGUGAAGUCAGGCCACCUCCCUGGUCCCUGCCUCUGCCUGCCAAAAGAACUCUGCCCUCCAGUCCCUAAGCUGGAGACAACCAAUGACUGGUCCCAUUGGUUCCCCAAUUAGGCAUGGGGCCAGAGGCAGCCCCAGUGGGGAGAGCUGGGCUCCAGUGCAGCAGCAACAGCCGCAGCAGCAUUUUCUGCUCCAGCACAAAGCUGGGAGGGCGGGCCAGAGGGAGGGAGGCCUUGAAGGAAGCUGAAGUCUGGCAGCUGGAGCUUCCCGGGUAUUCACACAUUCCGGGAAGAUGAAGUCAUCUGAGAUACAAAGCCUUUGGCAAUCUAAGCCAAGCAGUGUAAUUGCACUCCCCUUCUCUGGUCCCCAGUACAUACAAACCAGUCAACAGGUACUGGGUGGAAUUAUAGGUUACUGUAUUUGCUUUGGCUCUGGGGUAGCAUCCCUUAUCUGUGUUAGAAGGCAUUUCCUUUCCCUCACUGAGGAAAUCGGGCAUUACUUCAAGGAAGUGCCCAUCAGAAGUUCCAUGUGGGUCAGCUGCCAUGGAAACCGUUACCCAGCACCUCAGUGAAAGGAUCACCAUGCUGGAGCCUGAUGGAAGCUCAGGACUGAUUUCUUCAGAGCUUGGCAAUCAACACACUCUAUGGCCAGCAGUGGUGGCCCUGCAUUUGUCCGUGGAAACUAGAGGUCAGGCUCCAGUAGGAAAAAACAGCCUCAGAAACUUCCUCUGAUUCGACCAUUAGGGACGGUAGAUGACAGUAAUGGAGGCUGCCAGGGGACAUGACAGUACUGCUUUUUAGGGCAAAGGAGAAACAUCCCCUCCGAGCUUUUGUAAGAGGGAAAUGGACUUGAACCCUUGCCGGCCACACAGGGCUGGUUGGUUGUCACACACUUACGUCUGAUAGAACACGGUAGGCAGAGAAGAAGAAGCCAGUCCAUGUUGACCAGGGACCUCGAUAACUCCUUCCCCAAUUCCCUGGUCUGAGGAGAGAGUCUGUGCAUAAUAAACAGGGGGCUGCUACCAACAACCUGCUGAAGUUUCACCCUGGAAGGAGAGUCCCUCGGAGGUGUCAGGUGCUACCAGGAUAAGUACAUAUUCUCUCACAUUGUAACCUUCAGUUCUUCUAAGUGAGAAGGCAUUCCUAACUGCACCGUUCUGGAUGCAUUAGUCUUUGGUUGAGACUAACUCUUACUGUGUGCCCAAGGCUGGACUCAGACUUAAGCAUGCUGACAUUACAGGCACGAAUAACUCCAGGACUCAGCUUUUCUUUAAAGAUGCCCUAUGUCUUAGGUCUCCUACCAGCCUGAGCCCUGGUGUCAGUAACCCCCAGCCUCUUCGAAAGAUUACAAGAAAGACAUUGUCUCUUCUGAGCCUGGGAAAAGAAAAAUAAGAUUUCAAGAAGCACCCUGAUAGUAAAGAGCUUGAGAAGACAGACUCGGCCUUCCAGAAGGGACGGACGGGAUGGGACUCAGGAAAGGGAAAGAAACAGAAGCUAUGACCACAGUACAGAGUACUGAUUAAAGGAAAGGAGCAGA